rnacentral:rRNA from 1 species
CGGGUGAGUAACGCGUGAGCAACCUGCCUAUGACAGUGGGAUAGCCUCGGGAAACCGGGAUUAAUACCGCAUAAAAUCGUAGAAACACAUGUUUUAACGGUCAAAGAUUUAUCGGUCAUAGAUGGGCUCGCGUCUGAUUAGCUAGUUGGUGAGAUAACAGCCCACCAAGGCGACUAUCAGUAGCCGGUCUGAGAGGAUGAACGGCCACAUUGGAACUGAGACACGGUCCAA